rnacentral:rRNA from 1 species
AGAGUUUGAUCCUGGCUCAGAUUGAACGCUGGCGGCAUGCCUUACACAUGCAAGUCGAACGGCAGCGCGGGAGCAAUCCUGGCGGCGAGUGGCGAACGGGUGAGUAAUAUAUCGGAACGUACCCUAGAGUGGGGGAUAACGUAGCGAAAGUUACGCUAAUACCGCAUACGAUCUAAGGAUGAAAGUGGGGGACCGCAAGGCCUCAUGCUCAUGGAGCGGCCGAUAUCUGAUUAGCUAGUUGGUGGGGUAAAAGCUCACCAAGGCGACGAUCAGUAGCUGGUCUGAGAGGACGACCAGCCACACUGGGACUGAGACACGGCCCAGACUCCUACGGGAGGCAGCAGUGGGGAAUUUUGGACAAUGGGGGCAACCCUGAUCCAGCAAUGCCGCGUGUGUGAAGAAGGCCUUCGGGUUGUAAAGCACUUUUGGCAGGAAAGAAAAGGUACUGGCUAAUACCCAGUACUGAUGACGGUACCUGCAGAAUAAGCACCGGCUAACUACGUGCCAGCAGCCGCGGUAAUACGUAGGGUGCAAGCGUUAAUCGGAAUUACUGGGCGUAAAGCGUGCGCAGGCGGUUGUGUAAGUUUGACGU